GAUGAACUGUGGGUAGCGGAGAAAUUCCAAUCGAACCCGGAGAUAGCUGGUUCUCCCCGAAAUAGUUUUAGGACUAGCCUCAAGUUAGAUACCUGGAGGUAAAGCACUGAAUAGCCUAGCGGCCGAGAGGUUAGCGAAGCUUAUCAAACUCAGAAUGCCAGAGUAUUGAUGCUUGGGAGUCAGACAGUGUCAGAUAAAUGUCAUUGUCAAAAGGGAAACAGCCCAGAUCUACAGCUAAGGUCCCAAAGUCAGGUUAAGUGGAAAACGAUGUGAAGAUACGUAGACAACCAGGAUGUUGGCUCAGAAGCAGCCACACAUUCAAAGAGUGCGUAAUAGCUCACUGGUCGAGCGUCUUUGCGCGGAGAAUUUAACGGGGCUAAACCUGACACCGAAGCUUAGGCAAUACAGCAAUGUAUUGGGUAGGGGAGCGUUGUAUACGCGGUGAAACAGUAGCGCAAGCGGCUGUGGAGUGUAUAGAAGUGAGAAUGCCGGAAUGAGUAGCGCGAAUGCAGUGAGAAUCUGCAUGGCCGAAAGCCUCAGGUUUUUGGAGGAAGGUUCGUCCGCUCCAAGUUAGUCGGGAGCUAAGGUGAGGCCGGAAGGCGUAGCCGAUGCACAGACGGUAGAGAUUCCGUCACCACCAAAAGAGUUAAGCACAGGGACACAUUUGAAGUCUCAGAGCCGGGUGUUGGUUCCGGUAGAGAUCGAGGGAAAUUAGUACCGAAGUCUGAGAUGGAAGAUGGCGAGAAAAGCUGUGUGUAUUUCUGAGGUGCCCGUACCGCAAACCGACACAGGUAGGUAGGAAGAAGAUUCUAAGGCCAACGGGAGAAGGGUUGUUAAGGAACUCGGCAAAUUGACCCCGUAACUUCGGGAGAAGGGGUGCUCCAGAGAUGGAGCCGCAGAGAAUCGGCCCAAGCAACUGUUUACCAAAAACACAGGUUUGUGCUAAAUCGAAAGAUGACGUAUACGAGCUGACGCCUGCCCGGUGCUGGAAGGUUAAGAGGAGAUGUGCAAGCAUUGAAUCGAAGCCCCAGUGAACGGCGGCCGUAACUAUAACGGUCCUAAGGUAGCGAAAUUCCUUGUCAGGUAAGUUCUGACCCGCAUGAAAGGCGUAAUGAUUUGGGCACUGUCUCAACAGCCCGCCCGGCGAAAUUGUAGUACCGGUGAAGAUGCCGGUUACCCGCGACAAGACGGAAAGACCCCAUGGAGCUUUACUGUAGCCUAAUAUUGGGUUUCGAUGUUGCAUGCACAGGAUAGAUGGGACACAGGGAAACAAGUGCUUUGGCAUUUGUGGAGUGGCCGUUGGGAUACCAUCCUUGCGAUAUUGGAAUUCUAACCUGCGCCUUUGAAUCAAGGCGGGGGACAUUGUUAGGUGGGCAGUUUGACUGGGGCGGUCGCCUCCUAAAGAGUAACGGAGGCGUUCAAAGGUUCGCUCAGCUUGAACGGAAAUCAAGCAAAAGAGUGCAAACGCAGAAGCGAGCCUAACUGCGAGACUGACGGGUCGAGCAGUAACGAAAGUUGGAGUUAGUGAUCCGGUGGUAUGUGAGUGGAAAUGCCA
rnacentral:rRNA from 1 species